rnacentral:rRNA from 1 species
UACGUAGGGUGCAAGCGUUGUCCGGAAUUAUUGGGCGUAAAGAGCUCGUAGGCGGUUUGUCGCGUCUGCUGUGAAAACUCGGGGCUCAACCCCGGGCCUGCAUUCGAUACGGGCAGACUAGAGUUCGGUAGGGGAGUCUGGAAUUCCUGGUGUAGCGGUGAAAUGCGCAGAUAUCAGGAGGAACACCGAUGGCGAAGGCAGGUCUCUGGGCAUUAACUGACGCUGAGGAGCGGAAGCAUGGGGAGCGAACAGG